rnacentral:rRNA from 1 species
CCUACGGGAGGCAGCAGUGAGGAAUAUUGGUCAAUGGACGAGAGUCUGAACCAGCCAAGUAGCGUGAAGGAUGACUGCCCUAUGGGUUGUAAACUUCUUUUAUAUGGGAAUAAAAUGUUCCACGUGUGGGAUUUUGUAUGUACCAUAUGAAUAAGAAUCGGCUAACUCCGUGCCAGCAGCCGCGGUAAUACGGAGGAUCCGAGCGUUAUCCGGAUUUAUUGGGUUUAAAGGGAGCGUAGGUGGAUUGUUAAGUCAGUUGUGAAAGUUUGCGGAUCAACCGUAAAAUUGCAGUUGAAACUGGCAGUCUUGAGUACAGUAGAGGUGGGCGGAAUUCGUGGUGUAGCGGUGAAAUGCUUAGAUAUCACGAAGAACUCCGAUUGCGAAGGCAGUUCACUGGACUGCAACUGACACUGAGGCUCGAAAGUGUGGGUAUCAAACAGGAUUAGAUACCCCUGUAGUC